rnacentral:rRNA from 1 species
GCAUAUCAAUAAGCGGAGGAAAAGAAACUUACGGGGAUUCCCCUAGUACGGCGAGUGAGCGGGAAGAGCUCAAAUUUGAAAUCUAGUAGCCUUCGGCUGCUCGAGUUGUAAUCUAGAGAAGUGUUUUCCGUGCCGGCCCAUGUACAAGUCCCUUGGAACAGGGCGUCAUAGAGGGUGAGAAUCCCGUCCUUGACAUGGACCCCCGGUGCUCUGUGAUACACUUUCAACGAGUCGAGUUGUUUGGGAAUGCAGCUCAAAAUGGGUGGUGAAUUCCAUCUAAAGCUAAAUAUUGGCGAGAGACCGAUAGCGAACAAGUACCGUGAGGGAAAGAUGAAAAGCACUUUGGAAAGAGAGUUAAACAGUACGUGAAAUUGUUGAAAGGGAAACGAUUGAAGUCAGUCAUGCUCUUUGGUAUUUAUAUCAUUGAGUGGGGUCAACAUCAGUUUUGAGCGAUGGAUAAAGGCACUAGGAAGGUAGCACUCUCGGGUGAACUUAUAGCCUAGCGUCAUAUACAUUGUUUGGGACUGAGGAACGCAGCAUGCCUUUAUGGCCGGGAUUCGUCCACGUACAUGCUUAGGAUGUUGACAUAAUGGCUUUAAACGACCCGUCUUGAAACACGGACC